rnacentral:rRNA from 1 species
UACGUAGGGGGCAAGCGUUGUCCGGAAUCAUUGGGCGUAAAGAGUGUGUAGGCGGUGCUCUAAGUUUGGUGUGAAAUCUCCCGGCUCAACUGGGAGGGUGCGCCGAAAACUGGAAUGCUUGAACAUGGGAGAGGAAAGCGGAAUUCCUGGUGUAGCGGUGAAAUGCGUAGAUAUCAGGAGGAACACCUGCGGUGUAGACGGCUUUCUGGACCAUUGUUGACGCUGAGACACGAAAGCGUGGGUAGCAAACAGG